ACGACCUUACUUGAACAGGAUCUGUUCUAUAGGAUCGUACCGCUACAUCCUUUUACCAAAAAGGCAACCAACAUUUCAUUGCAAC
rnacentral:snoRNA from 1 species